GGGUGCACCAGGCGCGAAAACUUUACAAUGCGGGAAACCGUGAUAAGGGGACACCGAGUGCCAGCAUCAUAUGCUGGCUGUCCAGGUGUGUAAAAUACACCUGUCAGCAAGGGCCGGGCAAGACCGGUGCCAGCCGCCGCGGUAACACCGGCGGCCCGAGUGGUGAUCGUGAUUAUUGGGUCUAAAGGGUCCGUAGCCGGUUUGGUCAGUCCUCCGGGAAAUCUGACGGCUCAACCGUUAGGCUUUCGGGGGAUACUGCCAGGCUUGGAACCGGGAGAGGUAAGAGGUACUACAGGGGUAGGAGUGAAAUCUUGUAAUCCCUGUGAGACCACCUGUGGCGAAGGCGUCUUACCAGAACGGGUUCGACGGUGAGGGACGAAAGCUGGGGGCACGAACCGGAUUAGAUACCCGGGUAGUCCCAGCCGUAAACGAUGCUCGCUAGGUGUCAGGCAUGGCGCGACCGUGUCUGGUGCCGCAGGGAAGCCGUGAAGCGAGCCACCUGGGAAGUACGGCCGCAAGGCUGAAACUUAAAGGAAUUGGCGGGGGAG
rnacentral:rRNA from 1 species